UGUAGUAGUCCUUCUCUCCUGAGAACCAGGUAUAUCCACUACAUGAUGUUAUGAUGUGGAAUACCAAUAACCGAAAAUCACAAAACCAUGGCACUUUUAUUUGGCUGAGCUUACACCAAAGGGAAAGGGCUGGUGACCUCCUGAAUUGACCUCAGACAAGUGCGCAGACAGAUUUUAAACAUCUGUUGUCUUUUUGUGCUUUGAAACCCAAAGCGGGCCUUUACAACAGCACCUCCGAUCUCAGGGCACCUGGGCAGUAGGCAAGUGACGAGGGAAUGACAAACACAUUAUUAGCAACACCACAUUGUUUCUAAGUAGCAGCGUCAGUUAUCUACACGCUACCAAGCAAAAGGGACAGGUCACCAAAAAUACUAUCACAAACUUAGCAAAAAUAACAAACCUGGUUUCACUGCUUGUUCCCAGAUGGAAGAAAAUCCAGAUUGUUCUGCGUAUUUAUCAUUCUUUACUUCUCAUUGCACUCAACUUCAUCCUAACUGUAACUUAUCAUCGCUAGAAUUUAAGUAAUACCUUUCUCUCUCAGCUACUUUAAUUCCUUGAUUACCACCAAAGCGUUAUGUUAUGUACUGGAACCAAGAGAGGGAAGGCUGUUUGGUAACUCACUGACUCCUGAUGUUCAGCAGUCUAUCAGAGCAUUACCCAGCAAUCAGCAAGCAGGGGCUAAUUACAUUAUACAGACACAGCGCUUGGAAGAACCCCAACCCCACUUUACUCUCCAGCACUCGAACUCUCCAUGUAUAUUUUUAUGAGCCCAAAAGACAAGCUUGGGCUCACAUUACUCCUCCCCACCACACUCAGUGGUGGCUCAGAGCCAUCCAAGUCCUUCUCCCUCUCCAUUCACACUUCAUUAAUGUAGUAAAAAGAGAUGUCCUCACAAGCGCUUUGAUACACGCAAACACAACACACACCUUUGGAACAGGCUGGAGGUCCUUGGCACUCAGGAACUCCCAAGUCAAACGCAGACAUAGCACGAUCAGUAAAGCACUACGGAAAUCAAGAGGAGAGCAAGAGCAAAAGAGAUGAGAUAGAUGCAAAUUUCAGCAUGCAGCUACAAAUGACAUGGAGCUGAUCCUCCACUAGGGUGCCCGGCAGAGCUACAAUCAAUACGUCUGUGCUUAUUUACACAAGCAGAGCACCAGCAGCACAACUAAGUCAGAGUUUCACUAUCGGUUACCACUGCACUACCUGUCUUAAGGCACCUUUGCAUAAAAUGCAAAGUUAUGAUUAAUUGUGUUUUUCUUCCAGCUCCGCUCAGCCCGCUGCUUUAUUCACUGCUGCUCUCACCUCUUCACCUCGUUAACUGCUUUCUUGCUUCUGGCCAUCGGAAUCGUUCCAAAAUUGCUGUUCUUUGUACAAAAAAAAUAAAAUAAAAUACUGCUAUUGUAACAGAAGCUAAAUUAAAAGGCUCGUGACAUGAACAAGGGCAGGCAGAGUGGCGAAAGGCCAACAAAGAGAGGGGUAUUUGUUACUGCUCCUUCCCGAGAGGAUUAAGAAAAACAUUCAAGAUUUUAAAAUUUGUUCCAGCCCUUUCCCUUAGUGUAUAAGAACGUGAAAGAGAUUCCAACACUCCUCCCAGACAACCCCUCAGAAGUUAGAGCCUACGUAAAGCAUCUCCUAGGAUGUCAGUGCCACCUGUCCAGACCGCAUCUGUCCCACAAAUCAUUAUUUCCUAUCAGCAGUCUCAAAGCACAGGUAAACACUCUGCUUAAGGUCUCAAUGGGAAAAACAACAGUGGUAAAAAUAACUUUGAAACCUCAUCAGAAAAGAGCAGCAGGGACACGGGGCACCCUCCCCUUUUUCUCCUCCCUCCUCCCCAGGUCCUUUUCAGGCGGGGUGCUCAGGAGGGGACAUUUGUCUUGCUAUGAAUAAGUCACCAUCCCGUGGGUGCUUCUUAAAGGAGUGGGGGGGAAAUAGUGGGAUUGGAUGCACUUACACCUCCUGGAGACCUCCACCCUUCUCACACCACCAGGCCAUGGGGUGGGGAUCCUGUCUGCCUCCGGGGCAGGCAGUACAACUCAACACUGCCCCAAGACCAGCACCAGCUUUUCCUCCUCUCCCCUACACCUCCAAAAAACCAACCAAGCAAAAGGGAAAUAAAUACGAGCUUCCCACGCCAAGCUAAACCUUUCCACAAACAGUUUGUUUUUCCUGACCAGUGAGAUUCCAUGGAACCGCUGGUGGUGUUCUCUGUGCAUGGAAAGGGUCGGAGCCCACAGCGGCAGCCAGGCAGGGCUCUGGUCUAAGGGCUGCACAUGGAAGGGGAUGGCACACCCGGAGCAACAGUGCUGCCCUGACCUCUCCAACACCAGAGAUGAAUUUAACGUGAAGCAAAAAGAAAAAUGGCCGUGAACUUAAAAUACAUAAAUAAGUCAAUACUCCGCCAAAGCCCAGCCUGUGCAAUAGAAGUGACUGGUUUAAAGGUCUCCUCGCUGACGUGAGUAGCAACACUUCAUGCGUUGGCACCCCCUCCUCCCCCCCCCCCCAACCUCAGUCAGCAACCACUUUUCAAUUAGUAAUUAAAAAAACACAUGAAAAACAGCAAUUUCAGACUGAAGAGCUUUGGGUGCCCUGUGGAGCACUUGGGGGUGACAAUAAACAAGGUGCUGAUACGCACACGUUGCACAGUGCUGAGCCGAAUGGGAUGAGCCCCAAAUCAGAGUGAGAUUUCAAUGCAUGAAGUUUAGCUGUAAGAUAAGGGACCGUAAUCAAAUUACACCACAAAUAGGUCCAUUCAUCCGUGAGCGUUAUUGCAGGGAGAGGAUUGAAUUACAGCUCGGGAUAAAACAAUUUAAGGAAUAAAAAGGAAAUUUAUUAGCUAUUUAUUAUUGUCCCGCUGCCAAAGAAAAUUUCCCACCUUCGUCACAAGAAUGCAAUCUGAGGAGAAAGCUGAAAUACUAAUUAUCAGGCUGGAAAAACAAGAAGAGUUCGGGCUGUAUUAUUUACAUUGCCAUUCCUCUUUCUGAAUAGAGCCACAAAGUCAACGAGCCAAGGGAAGCCACGAGAAGAAGCAUUUGCAAUUCCAGUUGUUUUGCUGGGGAAGGCCUAGGCGAAAGCUAUCCCAACAGCACGGCUUUUAAAGAGGACCAAGUGCAAGGAAACAUUUAAAGUCUGGGAGGGAAAAGGAUUAUUUACAAAUAGAAGAAAAGCCGAACCAAACCAUUACGUGGCAUAGCAGCUGCAAGUUUCCUAGCUGAGAUACUGAUUGCACACUGGUUUACUAAUUAGGUGAACCACUUUGACCCGUUGGCUGCAGUUGGCAUUACUGAGAUGGAACCCAUUCAGCUCAUGAGCUCCACAUGAAAACAGGUGAAAUGACCAAAGCCACGUCCACUUCAUGACGGCUGGAAAUCAUAAUCGAUGCAAAAUGGAGACAGCAUGGCUCAGGCUGUGGGAGGGACGCCUUUGCAGCUACUGGAGGUGUUGAAGAUGACCUCAUCUUCUGGUAUCUAAAUAGGCAAUUGGAGAAAAUGCUCCCCCCUCCUCCUGCCAGCCUCCUAAAGAUCAACACAUCUGCAAACACGUUCUGCAAACCUAAGGGAAGAAAGCCAGAUUGUAGCCUGCCUUAUCUCUUCUGACUCGCUAAAUGUAUUUCAGGCCUCAAGCAUCACAUGACUGCACAUAGUGUGUGGGUACAAUAACUAAUGUGGCUUUCAUAACGGAUCAGCAGGGAUCAGCAAUGUUGAACAAACACCCUUAUUUGCCAAAGCACCUUCCCAGCACAUGAAGCAGAUGACCUUGUCUCCUAAGAGUUACAGUGUGAAGCGGAUGAUCUGCAAAUUAAGGAUUUGGAACUAUUUAUCCACCGAUCCCCCUUAACCUCACCGUUUUGCACUGAAUCCAACACUGUCCUUGCUCUAUAGAAACCCAAGGCAACAAGAGACCAGUUGUCGAUACCACAGAGGGCAGCAGACAAUGCAUUUUCUGCAAGAAAUUUCCUGAUGGUGGGGACAGGACUUCAUCAAAAAGCAUAGAUCAGCAUCUUGUUGAAUAGAAUCAUAGAGUCAUUAAGGUUGGAAAAGACCUCUAGGGUCAUCUAGUUCAAUGCCAACCCAGCCCCACCAUACCACUGACCACGUCCCUCAGUGUCCCAUGUCCACAGAUCUUGAACAACUCCAGGCAUGGUGACCCCACUGCCUCCCUGGGCAGCCUGUGCCAAUGUAUCACCGCUCAUUCGCAGAAGAAAUUUUCCCCAAUAUCCAACCUCAUUGUCCUUUGCUACACCUUCAAUGAAGAACAUGUAUCUUCCUGACAGCAACACCAAUUGGAGGUGCUCAGGGAGAGGUAGACUAGGUAGAACUCCCCAGCAAUCUUGGAGCUCCUAUAGAACAGCUUAAAAUACAAGCCAUUAAAGUUUUCCAGAACAGUUUUCUACGCUCUGGAACGAUCCCAUUCAUCCCAAGCUCUUCACUUGCUAAGGAGUUUUGGGCUGUGGGAAUGCAUUUACUGCUGUUGAAGCUGGCUUUAGAAGUUGCAUCCUGCCCUAAGGGACUAAUUCCUACACAUUUGCUGUGCUAAUCAAAGCUUUUGUCUGGCUACAGGACAGACGGGGAGCUCCUGUGACAGAAAAUGAGCAAAGAGAAGCAGAUACUGGAAUUGCCUGUGCCUCUAUGAGAAGCUGAGGCAAGCAGCAGGAAUCGCAGUGGGGCAGUGAGGCAAGGAGGUCCUGCUGAGGUGAAAUGGGGCCUUGGUCACUGGAGUGAGGCGAGGGCCCUCCUAGAAUGAUGGAGAGGAUAAAACCAGUUGUUCCCAUAGGCUCUAACAUGGAGUCUUCCUUCAAGCGUCGCAGCCCUCGAUUUCAGACAGUGCAUUCCAGCAAAUACUUGAAAGUACUCUCCUCCUCUUGCCUCUCAGACCAUGCAAAGCUUUUAACCAGUUGUUAGCCCUUGAAAACAGGAUACAGCAGCAGGUGCAGCUGCUACUCAUGCGCUUUGUGGAGUUUAAUGUUAGAGGUAGACCCAAAGCAACAUGAAGGAUGGAGUCAGAGGACGUGAAAAUCUCUUCACAAUUAGGGAGCACACACGUAUUUACCUACACAAUACCUGCUCCUGCAGCACUUAUGAGUCAGGUGUAAUUGCUUCUGUUUGCAACGACCAAGCACAAAGACCAUAGAAAUGUCUCAGCUCUGAGAAGAGUACCUCUGCAGAGAAUUAGAAAUGAGUUUUCCUUAGAAUCAUGGAAUCAUUAAGGUUGGAAAGACCAUUAAGAUCUACUAGUCUGACCAUCAAUCUAUGCCUGUGACCGCUAAAUCUUUGCAUCUUUAUAUUGUGUGCUCCUUCAGGACAACCAGGGGAUACUUUUCCACUUGGUUUAUCUACCAUAUUUGAAGAUUCAUGGAAGCUGCAGGGGAGGAGUUGCCAAAAUAAAUUCAGUGAUGAACAUAAAGAGCUGCAGAACUGGAUCAUCUUGCCUCAAAUCCUGUUUCUGACAGUAGAAAAUGCUGAUAGCAGAAUGUAAGAAUAAGACAGCUUUGCGGCCUCCUGUGCUGCACCCUGUCUGGUGUCUACCAGGUACAAAACUUCACAUUCUUCUAAACUACUCUUUGGACCUCGAACCUUUGCACUAAGAGCAAAAGUUUAGUAGUAAUAACACAAGCACUUGGAAGAAAAAAAGCUGAAUCGAGGAACAAAGAGGUUUAAAGACAGCAGGGGAAAAGUCACAGAAAGUUUUAAAUGGAACUCUACAAACACUGCAAACAAGCAGACCAAGGAAACGGGACAGGCACACACACAGGAGAGCAAGUAGAAGGAGGCAGUCAGCUGCAUUUAAUGGCACAGAAAGUUUGCCUUCUAUAAAACAUUCCCACUCCUGGGCUUAAAUCACAGCUUUCCUCUGCCACUGGCCCCAGUAAAAACAACAACAACAACAUGAAAAAUGUCCCAGCUUCGGGGAUCGAGGGAGGAAUUUAUGUGCUCAGCCGCUACAGUAUGGUCACAGAUAUCCCCCUCCCAACUGCUUUUUCUCCCCUUGUUCUGCGCACCCAUGUCUUUGUUAGGAGAGCUGACAGGUUUAAAUAGAGCAUAUAAAACAGGCUGUUUUCGAGACCCCAUUUCUGGCUGUCUCAGACAGCGAUGCAACAGACUUCUUUACACUCAGUCACUGUUUCAAACUUCAGUUUGGAUUACUUCAGGGCUACGUUUCAUGCUCUGCUGUUAUUUGUCUUAACAAACACUGCUUACUCUAUCAUUAGGUUCAAACUGGGAGAUCUUUGGAGCUGUUCUGCUCUGCACAAAUUCAGGAUGAUACAGCAAAGUAACCUAAGUGGAAUGAGGCCAAACAACAUGUAAUCACGUCUAACAAGGAGGGAGGGGAGAGAGAGCGGAGGGGGAUGGGUGGGGAGAAGCGGAGAUGGAACAAACGCUGUGCGCAGAAACCCAGUGUCUCCUGCUACACACUGGGCCUGACAAACGUAAAAGGGAGGACAGGUCUUGCUGAGUGGGGAGAGCCAGACCGGGCAGCCAGGUGGGAGGGCAGGGAGAGCCAUUUUCUGAACUGAAAGCAGAUUGCUUGUAGCAGCUUGUUUUGCAUUGCUGUUCAUCACUAGCAGAAAGCAGAGAAGAAACAGCUGGAGUUACGGAGAGAAGAAAGACUUCAGACCAAUGCCUGCUUCCUAAUCUGCUUCUUACCUGAGGAAUAUGCCUUUUCAGUUCGUGGCAUUACCUACUGUCUUCCUUCCCUCUCUCCCUUCCCACAUUAACUCCAGUUCAUUCCUGCACUGAUUGCUCCUGCAGCGGAGUAAGGAGUGCUUACAUGAUCGGCUUCUAGGGCAGAGCCAGAAGCAGGAUAAACUUCUGAGACAGAGAUAAUGCUUUAAAUGGGUUCCCAUGUUUGCAGAACAAACAGAUGAGUUGAAGAGACGUUUUCAAUGAGAAAUUCUUGAUUAAUUCCUGCCAAUAACCUCUGGAGGAGGAACACCCUUUGCCAUAUCUCUGAGACUGGAAUUACUGAGGAAGUGUGCUGAAGGGUGCUGCACACAGGUACGUGCUCAAAGCCACCUGGCUGCUUCUCCUUCCCAUCUCCCCCCACUAACCUCAAAGGGAACAGAGAAUGUCAUGCUGAAAAUGACAGCGCAACGCAGUCCUCGUGCCCUUGACAAACCAGGCCAGAACAAAGUGGACUGUUGUGUUUUCAUUCAGAUAUCCUUUUGCAAGCUCUUCAGUGAGGAAUACACAUAGGGUGCGUUAAGGGCCGUCACCGUUCCACAUUUUCUUGUUCUGUGUCUGUACUGAUGAUAUACACUGAGUGAAGUAAAUCCCUUCUUGCGAGUGUGGUUUUACAUCCCCUUCCCCCAGAUGUGAGUGAGGAACGUGUUCUGAAUCUUGAGAUUCCACUUGUCAGUGGAGUACACUGCCACUGCAACACUACGCUGCCAUGAAAACGAAAGCUUCAAUUACAUUUUCGUGAUGAAAGCUUUCCACUACAGCUGAUGCAACAAGUCAUGCUGCUGCCUACUUUCCAUAGUUACGCCAAUGACUUGCAAAACUGUCACAUUUUGGGCAAGAGAAUAAGCCAGACCUCCCAGUUGCAGUCUCCCAGUGCCAGCACCACUGUUACCUCCUCCCCUCCCCAUGUGCACCCAGUGCAGGGCUUACUACUCACUCCUGCACACACAUUCCUUUUCUGGGCAGGUGGAUAAAGGUCUGCCCACAUGGCUUAAACUCUCUCAGUGUGGAUCUGCUGGCUUUUCUAUUUCUCAUUACGCAGCCACAAAGUAUAGAAAAAACCCUAAAAGAAUACAGAUGCUGUUAAUAGAUGAGUGGAGGGGAGGAAAAGGAUGUUGGCAACAGCUACUGGAUUAUGAAAUGCCAAAACCUUGCCAGAUGAACAUUCAUAGAGUUCCAGAAGGUCACAUCUAUGGUGGUUUGUUGAACAGAAGUUUGUAAAGUCAGAUGUCGAGGAACUGAACACACUUAAAACAUUCACCUGUGCAUUCUGAAGCCAAAACUUAUCAUUAAGGACGCCUGCCAAACCUUCUGUUUGUAACCUUCAUUCAUCUCUCAGACUUCCACAGCUGGCAAACCUUACAGACAAGAUUAUAUUCAGCUCUCUGCCUGAGAAGAGAGAAGUGACUACAUCCCAUGUUCUGCUGCGUUGUAAUACACUGUGGAGGGAAAGGAAGGCAUACACAAGGCCUGAAAUGGGCAGAUGGGGCUCGUAAGGCCACAGGCAAUAUCAGGGAUGUAUUGGACCCACUCACUUUUUGUCCUGUACAACACAUUAAGAUCCCAACAGUGGGAGGUCUCUCAUCACUCAUACCAAAUGUAGAAGCUUCUCAAGAAAAUUUCGCAUUUUCAUUCGUAUCCAAAGAAAUGUUUCCGAACCACCGCUAUGUGGGAGCAGGUGAGAAUUCUCCUUUUUUUGUUUCCCUUCACUAUUGUGGAUCCAAACACACCACCCCAGGAAGUGGGUCCGUCUUAGAAAGACAGGAGUAGAACAGUGGGAGGGCAAACACUCAGCCUUGCUCUAACAGAUGCUAACAACACUGGAGGAGUUCAACAAGACCGUGAGCUGCAAACUUGCUGUCUUUUUGGUUUUAGAAGUUAUGCAUAAGCAUCUCUAUUCCAAAGCAAGUGACUGCAUUUGCUCAGUUCGCCUGCAGAGGGUCACUGCAGUUUUCUCCAAGCUCAGCAGGAGCUGAACCCUCUGCAAGCAGGCCACAGGCAGGUAAGGCAGGAUUGGUGCCCAGUGCAUUCAAGAGCAUUUACUAAUCGCUCAGCCUGCUGCUUCCAGUCUCAUCCCUCCUCCCCUUCACCUGGGUCUGAGGGUCCUUCGUCACAAACCAAAGGGCAGUAGCCUAGAUCAAGGCAAAAGGAAUGCAUUCUACUGUUGAGAAGACCAUGGUGGUGGUGCUGGCGUGGAAGAAAUAUAUAAAAACCCCACAGUUAAUUGGAAAGCCAAAGACCAAAUACAAAUACCUUUUUUUUCCCUUUCCACAUGCUCCACACAGUCCUAUCAACAGGAAAGUAACAGUGACCACAGGCAGUGCUCACAGGGGAGCGUUCUGCCCAGAGAUCAGCCAGCCAGCUCAUUUCCCUGCCUCUGCAUCCAAUUUCAGCUCGUUGCAAAGGGUCUAUUAUCUUUAUAAGUGAGGUACGUAAUAUCUGUGUAAAUGCAGUAUCUGGGUUUUAAAAAAAACAAGCCUCUGUCAUGAUAAUAUAAUCUAACAAACAUAAAAACAAAUGCACAUCCCACCCACUAAUCCUCAUGAGAGCUGCGUUUAGAAGGAAACACAGAGCUCUGCCAUUAUAUUUAUGUCGCUGGCCAGAUCUUCUGGAUACCAGCAAGGCCAAGUUGUAAUCUUCCUUGGAGAGGUUACCCCUCCCUUGCAGGGAGGAACUCCCUUAGUUUCACUGGGACCGAGAUUUGGCUCCAGGAGCACAAACUGCAAAGCAGCAGCCAGGCCACACUGCUGCAGCUCAGAGAGCAAACAGCAGAGAAGGAAAUGAAGAAGCUAGUACUGCCAGUACUUUAAGAGGGAAUGAAAAGGUCAGCAUUUUGCAGCAAUGUCCUGCAUAUAGAUACGUGUGUAUACGUUUGUAAGAAGCUUGUUCUCUCCCCCUCGUGUGUUGUGUGUCAUUUUGUACAUACUACCCCUCUGCUUUCUGACUGCAAGCCUUGAGGAAGCACUAUUGGAACACUCAUCCUGGCCAUGUCUUUAUUCUGCUUAAUGACACACAAGUUUCACAUCUAGAAGAAAAAAAAGAGGGGGCUCAGACAUAAGGAGCUGCAGUGGACCCCCCCGUUCACACACCAGACUUGUUUCUGUCGCAUUCCAGAAGAAAAGCUGUAGUUAAAUAGGCACGGGUUUCCUUACUGUAUGCCAUUGAUGGUUUUGUAGUACUGGGAUCAGGUGGGCUUUUGCUGUUUCAUCCGUAUUCUCUCGUUUGUUUUGUAACAAGCAGUCUAUUUUUAAAAACAGUCAUGUCCUGGAUAUUUGGCUGUUGGAAUGCAGUACGUGAUUUAACCUUCAAAUGUGCAAAUGUAACAGCCUGCAAUUAUUGCAGUCAGGUUUCAUUACAGACCCUUUCCAACAGCAAGUUUCUCUUUGUGUAGGGCAAGCUUCCCUGACACUAGCAAAGCCAACUACACAGACAUCAAGUCUGCCCACAAGGGUUGAACGUCGGCAAAGGGUUCUGGUUCAGGAGUGGUUCUGACAACAGAGUGAUGCUGUCCAACCCAGUGACAGUACAUUGCUGGCACCCAUCUACCAGAGCCCUUAAGCACACACUCACUGUUAACCCCCUCUGAAAGUCUUCCUGAUAUCAAAGGGAUGUGGCGUGUGCUCGGGGCUCUGCUGAACACACAAACUGAAGCUUAAGCGGGGUCUGAUGGAGAGCAGUCUCCGUAGAUUGAAAGUUAUUUUUGAAGGCAGUGAUGAAAGACAACAAGUAUCUUCCAGGAGGUUUAACAGAAACCCUUACAGCUGGGCUUCUCGGGGUCACUGGUCACUCACCAUUAACUGGGAUCUGGAUUUACUGGGAUCCUAUUUCAUUAGAAAUCUGUGUGCAUGCCCUGGGAAGGAAAGAUGGUGAGGGAGUUGGUAGAACUUCAAGAAUAUCUUCUGGUAUCUCAUGGGAAAAUAUUCCUCAGCUGUAUUCUUCAUAACAGCUUUGGCUUUUUCUUCUGUUAACAGCUCAGUUAAGCAUUUUCUGCUACUCUGAAGGUUUUUUACAUGUCUUUUUCCUAAUGAAAUGCAAGCUCCUUAAAGAUGGAGAGUACUUCUAACAUGCAUAACCUGGCUGGAUUUUCAAAUUCAGUUUCUUAGAAUUUCAAGAAAUAAAUAUGUUGAUUUAUUUAAGGAGCUGUGUGGACAUUGGAGGCACUAAGGUCUUUCUAUCCCUAGAGGAAGCCGAGCUCCUUUGUAACUACAAAGCAACUACUCCACAUGACUCCUUCCAGCGCAGCUCAGUCACCCAAAGCAGCCUCAGACACACCUCUGCAAAAUAAAAGUUAUUCUAGCUUUGGAUAGAGUACUGAAGGAAGGAUAGCUAUGCUAGAGCAGUUAAUUCCACAGCAGCUAAGCCACAAAGAAUUCUCCCUGGCAUAGAAGUAUCUUCCCUUUUUAAGGGAACAGUUGUGAAAUGGCCACUGAAUCAAUGUUAGGAAAAAGCAAGAAUUUAUUUUGUAGCCUCUCUCUCACUGGUUCCAUUACAUGAAUCUACUGGGACUGAGGAACUGUAAUCAGGCAAAACAGUAACCAUCCUGUUUUCCAGAAUGCUAAGGAAAUUUAGGAUUCUCAGUUUCACGAGUGUAUUAGUAAUUCUUAGAAGCGAUAUUUUGUAUGACAGUGCAAGAAAGAACAUUCUUUUUUAAUGAGAUUUUCAUCCUUUUAUCUCAUUGGCUUCUGUUCACAUUUGGAAACCCCAAAUAUCCUUGUAACAGAUGUUCAAGAUGAUGCAUCUUAAAAAUUGAAUAAAUUGAAAGUUAAACAGGGCAAUAAUUAACAAGUAUGCACAGAAACGACUCUCAUUGUUUGUUUCCCAUUAUGCAGGAGCUAUGCUUGCAAUUGUAUUCAGCACAUUUUGGAGGUGAUAACUCAAUUCUCGGACUACCAGAUGCAUCUAGCAUGUGUCAGCUUCAAUGGAAGUUGUCAUUCAAUGGACCUUUUCAUUCCCUCUUAAAGUAAAUUUCUCUUAAAGAAAAUGUAGCAUGUCCAUAGGGUGUACAUGGGCAACAAAGUAGGACAUUUGCACCUAAUUGGAUGUAGCUGGUUUACUCUGAAUGUUUUUUUUCUUUUUCCUUUUUGUGCCUUAUUCCAUUCAGUAUUAGAAGUACCUUUGCUGUGAAAGGACACUACUAAACCUUCUGGAGACCUCCAGAAGACAGAUGACUCUGACUACUGGUCUGGAUUCGGGCACUGCAGGAAAACCCUCUUGCAACCAACACCGAGCCAUUCAUCUUCCAGCCAGCACCCAUGGGUGACCUUGAAUUUACUGGAGUGCUCUUGGCUUUGGAACCAAAACAGCGAUGACUUCUUUCCUUUAUUGCCCUCUGCAUCAUUUGACAGCCAAUGAUUUAUCUGUCGUAUUAGUUUCCCUUUGUUCCCCAAGUAAACUCAGGGACGGUGAGCAGGACCAUGAAGCAAAAUGACAGACUUGCUUUUAAAAAUAAUAUGAUUAUAGCAUUCUCAUUGCUAUGCAAAGAUUAUUCAUGGUAUCGCUUAAUCAGUACUCGUGUAUAUUUUGUCUUUGAUUUUUUUUUCUCCCAUUGUGCAAUGGAAAUGUUUCAGGAGUUUCAAAAUGGGCAGUGAAGUCUCCCCCAAAGCAAUUCACUACUUUCCAUGCUGUUUUUGUCAACAUAUACUCCAAUAAACACGAGCAUCUUUUUCAAAAAUCAUAAACAACAGAAACAGAAAACAAUUGUAACCUAUUCUCAAACUGAACUGAAUUAGAGUGAUGGGACACUACUAUCUCAGUCUGUAGACUGAAACUGCACAGCCAUAUUCCCCGCUCUGUUAUUCAUUUGUUAAUUUAACAGUGAAACGUGGCAUUUGUUAUUGUUCGGGAAAAUUGCAGUGGAACCUCAGAUAAAUGUAUUCUAUAUGAGAAGUAAUCUGUGUACAGAUUAAAGUUCAUUUAGCUCAAGGACUGUUGCAGGAGUAUUGGCCACCCAUGCCUGUCCACAUCCAUCAGAGGUCAGGCAGCUCAGGAAAACUGAGAUUUUUCAGCUAUCUGCACACUUGACCCUGGCAGCUCUUGGCCAAGCCAAUAAUCUGCACUUCUACUUCCUCCUCCAAGGCACGGUUUGGGGACAGUGAGGAGGAAACUGAGAAGAACAUUUGCUAUGCUUGCAUUUGUGUUAUGCAAUGCAACAAGCUGUCCUGUCUGAUGGUCAGUCUCAGUCAGGUGGAAAACAGUGACCCCCGAACUAGUACAGGUGCCCACACCUCUGCAAAUAGAUAGCUGUACUGAGAGACCAAUAACAACCGCUGCCAGAACGGGCUGUAUAACCAACACCUGCUGACCUGAUGGUGUUUUUGUGGAAAGCUUACAAGUAACAACAUCAGUGGACUUCUUUGAAAAGGUUCAUUGGCCUCACUGGUAUUUUAGUAUCUCAUUAACUUGAGCCUGGCGGCCUCCAGUGAGUUUAACUGGACACCAUGUAGUAGACUGAAUUACAAAGGAAAAUAA